CUUUCACUGAGAUCACCUAUAGCUGGAGGCACCUCAGUUAGAAAACACAGUUUUGAAGAAGGACUCCAACAGGAAAUAGCCAGUUCCCAAAAUGAUAGCCACAGCUUUAUGGUAAUCUCACAACACAGCCAUUUAGCCCCAAGACAAGCACAGAUUUUUCCUAAGCAUGUCCACUACUGUCGUGCAGGUGACAAUGACUGGCCUUGGUGGUGACCCAACCCGAUUGGCUAAGCAUGAAUUUCCUGCAUCUCAAGAUAAAAGCAUGAAAUACUGCUCAGCAUGGACAGGGCACUGUCAGGACAGAAAUGCUAAGGGAUAA